AACGACUCCUCUCUCGUUGAAUGACCCAACUGUUGAUCAAUCACCCACGAAGGGGCGUAGACUACCAAUCUCGUUUUGGCUCCAGAAAGAAAUGUUGUGUGCCCGAACAGCGAGAGGCAUUAACUCUGGCCUAAUGACAAUCACCAACUAGCUAGCUACAUUCUUUAUAAACCACUAGGGUAUAUCAGCUACAACUCUCCUCAUGUUCCUGAGCCAACAGGAGGCAGGUACUGUGAGACUAGCUACAUUCUUUAUAAACCACUAGGGUUGAGGCCUAUCAGCUACAACUCUCCUCAUGUUCCUGAGCCAACAGGAGGCAGGUACUGUGAGACUAGCUACAUUCUUUAUAAACCACUAGGGCAUAUCAGCUACAACUCUCCUCAUGUUCCUGAGCCAACAGGAGGCAGGUACUGUGAGACUAGCUACAUUCUUUAUAAACCACUAGGGUUGAGGCCUAUCAGCUACAACUCUCCUCAUGUUCC
ensembl:lncRNA